rnacentral:rRNA from 1 species
AAUCAACGCUGGCGGCGUGCCUCAGACAUGCAAGUCGAACGCGAAAGUCCCCUUCGGGGGACAAGUAGAGUGGCGCACGGGUGAGUAACACGUAGGUAAUCUACCUUCGGGUGGGGAAUAACGCAGGGAAACUUGCGCUAAUACCGCAUAAUGCAGCGGCACCACAUGGUGACAGUUGUUAAAGCGGGGGAUUUUCGGACCUCGCGCCUGAAGAGGAGCCUGCGGCAGAUUAGCUAGUUGGUAAGGUAACGGCUUACCAAGGCGACGAUCUGUAGCCGGCCUGAGAGGGCGGUCGGCCACACUGACACUGACAUACGGGUCAGACUCCUACGGGAGGCAGCAGUCGGGAAUUUUGGGCAAUGGGCGAAAGCCUGACCCAGCAACGCCGCGUGAAGGAUGAAAUCCCUCGGGAUGUAAACUUCGCAAGAAUAGGAAGAAUGAACGAGCGCUAACACCGUUCGUGAUGACGGUACUAUUUGUAAGCUCCGGCUAACUCCGUGCCAGCACG